CAGCCAUGCCGCGUGCAGGAGACGGCCCUAUGGGUUGUAACUGCUUUUAUACAGGAAGAAACACUCGGACGUGUCCGAGCUUGACGGUACUGUAAGAAUAAGGAUCGGCUAACUCCGUGCCAGCAGCCGCGGUAAUACGGAGGAUCCAAGCGUUAUCCGGAAUCAUUGGGUUUAAAGGGUCCGUAGGUGGAUAAUUAAGUCAGAGGUGAAAUCCUGCAGCUCAACUGUAGAAUUGCCUUUGAUACUGGGUUAUCUUGAAUCAAUGUGAAGUGGGUUAGAAUAUGUAGUGUAGCGGUGAAAUGCAUAGAUAUUACAUAGAAAUACCAAUUGCGAAGGCANAUCACUAACAUUGUAUUUGACACUGAUGGACGAAACCGUGGGGGAGCGAACAGGAUUAGAUACCCUGGUANUCC
rnacentral:rRNA from 1 species